GACGCCACGAGGUGUUUCUCUCCCGUUCACCCGUCCGUGUCCAUCCGGAUCACUCCCUCCGCUCUCCGGCUCCCCACCGCCCGCGCGGGAGAUAUUUCGCGCGACCCGACCCGACGCGAUGUCGCUGCUCGCUCUCGCCGCCGGUCGGGCAGCCUCCGUGCGGCCGCCGCGCGCGUCGGCGGCCUCGGGGGAGGCGGCUGCUCCCGCUCCUGCUCCUGCGGUGGCGGAUCAGCCGGCGGGGCGGAGGCCGGUGAAGGUGAUACUGCCAAAGAAGAAGCCGCAGAAGUGGUCGACGGGGAUGGCGCCGGGGGAGUACGGCGGCGGGCCGGCGACGCCCAAGCCGCGGAAGUACUGGAUGGGGAAGGAGGACCGCGACCCCGUGGGCAACACCGACGACUUCAUCUGGAACAAGGACUUCCUCCCCCACAUGGAGCGCGUCAUCGCCAACGGCGGCGCCGACACGCCCCCCACCAUCCCCCGCCUUACCCCGGUGGAUGAGGACGCGGAAUCGGGGUUUCUGAGCAUCAACCGCGCGAUGAGCCUUGACAGUGUGGAGGUUGAUCUGAGCAAGGAGCUUCAGGCGCCGACCAGGCCGAUCUUGCAAACCCAGGUUGAGGCUGCCUGGCGGGGGCGGGCCAUUGGAGCUGAGGCUGUGAAUGGUGCUGCAUCUCCUAGAUGGAGACUAGUCCCGACGCGCCAGGAACAGGCAAAGUGGGACCGAGCGGCUAAGGCAGCCACUGGUGGCAGUGAUGUCAUACUAAGGGAGUCAAAGUCAAGGGUGCAGCAAGGGGACCCUGAGGUAUUGGCAGCUAAGUCCAGGGAGCAAUAUCUAGAGUUGAAACAAAGAUUGCAGUUACUUACUUUGGGUAUUGGUGGCAUUGGUGUAAUCUCCGCCUAUUUUUCCUACUCUCCUGAAAUUGCUGUGAGCUUUGGUGCAGGGCUGAUUGGAUCUAUCCUGUAUCUCCGCAUGCUUGGAACCAGUGUUGAUUCCUUAGCGGGUGGAACUGGAGAAACUGUAAAGAGUGCUGCUGCCCAACCAAGAUUGCUUAUUCCAGUGGUAUUAGUGAUGACGUAUAACCGAUGGAAUGGGAUAUUAGUUCCAGAUUAUGGUUUCAUGCACCUGGAAUUGAUACCGAUGCUUGUUGGGUUUUUCACCUACAAGAUUGCAACAUUUGUUCAAGCAAUUCAAGAAUCCAUACCUGAAGUUGGAAAUCGUGAAGUUUGAACAUAGUUCUGGUGAAUAGAAAAUAAAGGUAGUUGCCCUGAGGGAAGAUUUGGUCACCAAGAUGUCAAAGAUAGUAAGGUCAAGGUUUUAUAAGGAUCCAAUCUGAAUAUGUUACCAGGAUAAGAUGUUGGCUGAGUCGUCAAGGAGGGAGACAAGGAUACCAUCUGAAUCUUGACUGGUUAAUCAUAAUGAUGCCUUCAAUUUUACUAUAACUGCACAAUAGAAAAUCAGUACAUAGGCGUGUAGUCAACUUCAUCCCAUUUUACACGUCAAUCAUGAACAUUUAUGUACACCUUAAACUUUUGGUUCAGUGACCACUGAAUUGUAUGGUUUAUCUUAUAUUAGCAGUAUGCAUAACAAUAUAUAGCCAGGACUCAUGACCAAUUCUGAAUGCAAAUAACACAGGAUGUCAAUACAGCUGAAUUCAAUAAGCUUGGGGAAUCCUAUGGAAGCCUUUUUUUUCAUGAACUGGAUAACUCUUUUCAAGUACUAGUACUUAACUGGAAUGUGUAAGUGCAUUUAUGACAUUGUCACAUUGUUCCCUGUACUGUGUGAAAAAUGCAUCUGCACCAAUGCUGACUUGUUUUAAAA